rnacentral:misc_RNA from 1 species
AACUUAUCUUGUUCAGUAUGUGAUGUUCUUUUUUUUUUUCUUUUAUGUUAUUUCUAUUGAUUUAUUUAUCUGUUUUCCCUAAUAAGUAGCUUCAUUGAUUAUUAGUUAACUCAAUUGUUGAGCAAAUUUUGAUUGCUUUUUUCUUGUCCUUUUCUGAUAGUGUUGAAGAAAUUUGUGAUGUUGAAAACAAUGUAUCUGCAGUCAACUGCAUUAAAAAGCAAUAAAUGUUGAAUGUGUGAAUGAAGUUUUAUAUAUAUAUGCUUAAAAGUCAUUUUCGCUGGUUAACCUUGGUUUUUGCCUUUUCAAGUAGGGGUGAGCAUUAUUCGGUUCAAACCGAAUAAACCGAACCAAACCGCCUUAAUUCGAUAAUUCGGUUCAGUUUUUAAGAUAAUUCAGUUCGGUUCGGUUUUAUAUUAAAAAAUUUUCAGUUUUUUCGGUUUGGUUUGGUUUUGAAGAGAAAAAAAAUCGGUUAAACCGAACCGAACCGAAUCGAACCAAAUAAGUUUAUUGAUUUUUGAAUUGAUUUAUUUUUAUGGAGAAUUUAUGAAUUAUAUAUAAUUUUAUACAUAUAAAUUGUUUAAUUUCAUUGA